GGUACUGUGCAUCGCAUUAGGGAGUAGCUGAUGGGGAACUCAUCGGCGCAGCUAACGCAUUAAAUGAUCCGCCUGAGUAGUACGUUCGCAAGAAUAAAACUUAAAGGAAUUGACGGGGACCCGCCCAAGCGGCGGAGCAUGUGGUUUAAUUUGAAGAUACGCGUAGAACCUUACCCCCCCUUGACAUCUUCUGCAAAGCUAUAGAGAUAUAGUGGAGGUUAACACAGGGGCCUGAUCGGCGCCCCA
rnacentral:rRNA from 1 species